UGGGAGAGUUGGAAAUCUAUAUGUCUUUUGGAAACUUCUUCUGAAAGAAUUAAUUGAUUUGAAUUUCUGAACUGACUAGAAGAAUUUAGGGGAACAAAAGAAUGCAGCACAUAUAGAUUUAAUGGAUUUGGAAUAGCAACUUCUAUCUUGGAUUCAGCUCUGAAAGUUACACAGAUCCUUGUCCAUUUCCACUCAAUGUGAGGAAGAAGUUUGUCCACCCGACAUGACUUUAACGUAGAAGCAGAUCCUGAGC